UUGAACGCUGGCGGCAGGCCUAACACAUGCAAGUCGAACGGUAACAGGAAGCAGCUUGCUGCUUUGCUGACGAGUGGCGGACGGGUGAGUAAUGUCUGGGAAACUGCCUGAUGGAGGGGGAUAACUACUGGAAACGGUAGCUAAUACCGCAUAACGUCGCAAGACCAAAGAGGGGGACCUUCGGGCCUCUUGCCAUCGGAUGUGCCCAGAUGGGAUUAGCUUGUUGGUGGGGUAACGGCUCACCAAGGCGACGAUCCCUAGCUGGUCUGAGAGGAUGACCAGCCACACUGGAACUGAGACACGGUCCAGACUCCUACGGGAGGCAGCAGUGGGGAAUAUUGCACAAUGGGCGCAAGCCUGAUGCAGCCAUGCCGCGUGUAUGAAGAAGGCCUUCGGGUUGUAAAGUACUUUCAGCGGGGAGGAAGGGAGUAAAGUUAAUACCUUUACUCAUUGACGUUACCCGCAGAAGAAGCACCGGCUAACUCCGUGCCAGCAGCCGCGGUAAUACGGAGGGUGCAAGCGUUAAUCGGAAUUACUGGGCGUAAAGCGCACGCAGGCGGUUUGUUAAGUCAGAUGUGAAAUCCCCGGGCUCAACCUGGGAACUGCAUCUGAUACUGGCAAGCUUGAGUCUCGUAGAGGGGGGUAGAAUUCCAGGUGUAGCGGUGAAAUGCGUAGAGAUCUGGAGGAAUACCGGUGGCGAAGGCGGCCCCCUGGACGAAGACUGACGCUCAGGUGCGAAAGCGUGGGGAGCAAACAGGAUUAGAUACCCUGGUAGUCCACGCCGUAAACGAUGUCGACUUGGAGGUUGUGCCCUUGAGGCGUGGCUUCCGGAGCUAACGCGUUAAGUCGACCGCCUGGGGAGUACGGCCGCAAGGUUAAAACUCAAAUGAAUUGACGGGGGCCCGCACAAGCGGUGGAGCAUGUGGUUUAAUUCGAUGCAACGCGAAGAACCUUACCUGGUCUUGACAUCCACAGAACUUUCCAGAGAUGGAUUGGUGCCUUCGGGAACUGUGAGACAGGUGCUGCAUGGCUGUCGUCAGCUCGUGUUGUGAAAUGUUGGGUUAAGUCCCGCAACGAGCGCAACCCUUAUCCUUUGUUGCCAGCGGUCCGGCCGGGAACUCAAAGGAGACUGCCAGUGAUAAACUGGAGGAAGGUGGGGAUGACGUCAAAUCAUCAUGCCCUUUAUGUCCUGGGCUACACACGUACUACAAUGGCUGUAACAGAGGGAAGCAAGCUAGUGAUAGCAAGCAAAACCCAAAAAGCAGUCUCAGUUCGGAUUGAAGGCUGAAAUUCGCCUUCAUGAAGCCGGAAUUGCUAGUAAUGGCAGGUCAGCAUACUGCCGUGAAUACGUUCCCGGGCCUUGUACACACCGCCCGUCACACCAUGAGAGUUGGGAAUACCCGAAGCCUGUGAGCUAACUGUAAAGAGGCAGCAGUCGAAGGUAGAAUCAAUGAUUGGGGUG
rnacentral:rRNA from 1 species